UUAAAUUGAAGAGUUUGAUCAUGGCUCAGAUUGAACGCUGGCGGCAGGCCUAACACAUGCAAGUCGAACGGUAACAGGAAGAAGCUUGCUUCUUUGCUGACGAGUGGCGGACGGGUGAGUAAUGUCUGGGAAACUGCCUGAUGGAGGGGGAUAACUACUGGAAACGGUAGCUAAUACCGCAUAACGUCGCAAGACCAAAGAGGGGGACCUUCGGGCCUCUUGCCAUCGGAUGUGCCCAGAUGGGAUUAGCUAGUAGGUGGGGUAACGGCUCACCUAGGCGACGAUCCCUAGCUGGUCUGAGAGGAUGACCAGCCACACUGGAACUGAGACACGGUCCAGACUCCUACGGGAGGCAGCAGUGGGGAAUAUUGCACAAUGGGCGCAAGCCUGAUGCAGCCAUGCCGCGUGUAUGAAGAAGGCCUUAGGGUUGUAAAGUACUUUCAG
rnacentral:rRNA from 1 species